GUGCUUAACACAUGCAAGUCGAACGGUGAACACGGAGCUUGCUCUGUGGGAUCAGUGGCGAACGGGUGAGUAACACGUGAGCAACCUGCCCCUGACUCUGGGAUAAGCGCUGGAAACGGCGUCUAAUACUGGAUAUGUGACGUGACCGCAUGGUCUGCGUCUGGAAAGAAUUUCGGUUGGGGAUGGGCUCGCGGCCUAUCAGCUUGUUGGUGAGGUAAUGGCUCACCAAGGCGUCGACGGGUAGCCGGCCUGAGAGGGUGACCGGCCACACUGGGACUGAGACACGGCCCAGACUCCUACGGGAGGCAGCAGUGGGGAAUAUUGCACAAUGGGCGCAAGCCUGAUGCAGCAACGCCGCGUGAGGGACGACGGCCUUCGGGUUGUAAACCUCUUUUAGCAGGGAAGAAGCGAAAGUGACGGUACCUGCAGAAAAAGCGCCGGCUAACUACGUGCCAGCAGCCGCGGUAAUAC
rnacentral:rRNA from 1 species